rnacentral:piRNA from 1 species
UGUGGGAUCAGUGUUGCAGUACGG